AGUUAGCCAGAUGGUCGCAUGCCUUUGUAGUGAAGUGCAUGAGGAAAGUCCGAGCUCCAAAGAACAGGGCGCCGGUUAACUGCCGGCGGAGGCGACUUUAGGGAAAGUGCAACAGAAAUAAACCGCCAAGAAUUUUCUUGGUAAGGAUGGAAAGGGGAGGCAAGAGCUCACCGCGCGCUUGGUAACAAGCGCGGCACAUGUAAACCCCGCCCGGAGUAAGGUUAAAAGAGGCAAUGGGUUGUUCGCUCGCUUCUUAACAACACCGCUUGAGCGUUCUGGAAACAGUUCGCCUAGAUAGAUGACCAUCAAAUACAGAACUCGGCUUACAGACUAGCU
rnacentral:RNase_P_RNA from 1 species